UCUUAUGGAUGAGCAAAGAAAAUGGUUUUGCGAAAUGGAAUCCACUCCUAGUGAAGAUGCUGUGAA
rnacentral:pre_miRNA from 1 species